GACACACACUGGAUCUCGGGCUUGAGCCUCUGCCGGCUGAAGGCCACGGCCAUGUCGCCACACUUCUGGAUCUCGGGAGUAGACAGCACACACCAGCGCAGUUCAUCCUAGGCCAUCCUGCUCGCCACACUCGGCUGUUUGGACACAUGACAGAUGGCCCAGGUGUGGAUGGUGCUGAGGGCCAGCUGGGCAGCCGCAGUCUGGAUGGGGUGAAAGUAGCAGAAGCUGGGGCGCACUCGGGAGUCGGAAACAGUGCUGCUGUGAGCAGAGGUUUCAGCAAAACCUUAUUCACUGCAUGUAAUUAAUGGUACACUUUGAAAUGUA